rnacentral:rRNA from 1 species
UACGUAGGGCGCAAGCGUUUGUCCGGAAUUAUUGGGCGUAAAGAGCUCGUAGGCGGCCAGUUGCGGUCCGCUGUGAAAUCCCGGGGCUUAACCCCGGGCGUGCAGUGGAUACGGGCUGGCUAGAGGCAGGCAGGGGAGAACGGAAUUCCGGUGUAGCGGUGAAGUGCGCAGAUAUCGGGAGGAACACCGGUGGCGAAGGCGGUUCUCUGGGCCGUAACUGACGCUGAGGAGCGAAAGCAUGGGGAGCGAACAGGA